UUAAAAGCGAUGAUGAGGACAUGAAUUAUUUUUACGGUUUACAGAGAGGGAAGUUUUGCUGAAAUCUUCCUAGCUUAGGAAAAUAAUUUACCACCUUUAAGCUGUAUUGGGGAAUGUAGUAUCCAAUACCGUCUAUGCUACGUUACAGCACCAAAGCCAUAGGCUAUUCUUUAGCUUAUGGAAAGUUGGGUGGAACCACGGGUUAACAACACACUCGUCCCUUGU
rnacentral:ncRNA from 1 species